AACCCUCAUCCCUAAUUGCUCCUGGCAGAUAAAAGGGUCAGAGCACAAUAGGGAGACCGCUGGCGAAGAGCCAGAGAAGGGAGGAUGACGUCAAGUCAGCAUGGCCUUUAUGCCCUGGGCUACACACAUGCUACAAUGCAGGGUACAACGGGAAGCGAAGCCGCGAGGUGGAGCAAAUCCCCAAAAGACCCUGCUCAGUUCGGAUCGCACGCUGCAAUUCGCGUGCGUGAAGUCGGAGUCGCUAGUAACCGUGGAUCAGCAAAGCCGCGGUGAAUACGUUCUCGGGCCUU
rnacentral:rRNA from 1 species